rnacentral:rRNA from 1 species
UCAGGAUGAACGCCGGCGGUGUGCCUAAUACAUGCAAGUCGAACGCGUUGGCCCAAUUGAUUGAUGGUGCUUGCACCUGAUUGAUUUUGGUCGCCAACGAGUGGCGGACGGGUGAGUAACACGUAGGUAACCUGCCCAGAAGCGGGGGACAACAUUUGGAAACAGAUGCUAAUACCGCAUAACAGCGUUGUUCGCAUGAACAACGCUUAAAAGAUGGCUUCUCGCUAUCACUUCUGGAUGGACCUGCGGUGCAUUAGCUUGUUGGUGGGGUAAUGGCCUACCAAGGCGAUGAUGCAUAGCCGAGUUGAGAGACUGAUCGGCCACAAUGGGACUGAGACACGGCCCAUACUCCUACGGGAGGCAGCAGUAGGGAAUCUUCCACAAUGGGCGCAAGCCUGAUGGAGCAACACCGCGUGAGUGAAGAAGGGUUUCGGCUCGUAAAGCUCUGUUGUUAAAGAAGAACACGUAUGAGAGUAACUGUUCAUACGUUGACGGUAUUUAACCAGAAAGUCACGGCUAACUACGUGCCAGCAGCCGCGGUAAUACGUAGGUGGCAAGCGUUAUCCGGAUUUAUUGGGCGUAAAGAGAGUGCAGGCGGUUUUCUAAGUCUGAUGUGAAAGCCUUCGGCUUAACCGGAGAAGUGCAUCGGAAACUGGAUAACUUGAGUGCAGAAGAGGGUAGUGGAACUCCAUGUGUAGCGGUGGAAUGCGUAGAUAUAUGGAAGAACACCAGUGGCGAAGGCGGCUACCUGGUCUGCAACUGACGCUGAGACUCGAAAGCAUGGGUAGCGAACAGGAUUAGAUACCCUGGUAGUCCAUGCCGUAAACGAUGAGUGCUAGGUGUUGGAGGGUUUCCGCCCUUCAGUGCCGGAGCUAACGCAUUAAGCACUCCGCCUGGGGAGUACGACCGCAAGGUUGAAACUCAAAGGAAUUGACGGGGGCCCGCACAAGCGGUGGAGCAUGUGGUUUAAUUCGAAGCUACGCGAAGAACCUUACCAGGUCUUGACAUCUUGCGCCAACCCUAGAGAUAGGGCGUUUCCUUCGGGAACGCAAUGACAGGUGGUGCAUGGUUG